rnacentral:tRNA from 1 species
AGUAAUAUAAGCUAAAUAAGCUUUUGGGCCCAUACCCCAAAAAUGUUGGUUUAAAACCUUCUAUUACUA